rnacentral:rRNA from 1 species
UAAUACGUAGGGGGCGAGCGUUGUCCGGAAUUAUUGGGCGUAAAGGGUUCGCAGGCGGUCUUUUAAGUCAGAUGUUAAAUGCAUAGGCUCAACCUAUGAGUGCAUUUGAAACUGGAAGACUUGAGUUAAGGAGAGGAAAGUGGAAUUCCUAGUGUAGCGGUGAAAUGCGUAGAUAUUAGGAGGAAUACCAGUGGCGAAGGCGACUUUCUGGACUUUUUCUGACGCUGAGGAACGAAAGCAUGGGGAGCAAACAGG